rnacentral:rRNA from 1 species
UACGAAGGGGGCUAGCGUUGCUCGGAAUCACUGGGCGUAAAGCGCACGUAGGCGGAUCUUUAAGUCAGGGGUGAAAUCCUGGAGCUCAACUCCAGAACUGCCUUUGAUACUGGGGAUCUCGAGUCCGGGAGAGGUGAGUGGAACUCCGAGUGUAGAGGUGAAAUUCGUAGAUAUUCGGAAGAACACCAGUGGCGAAGGCGGCUCACUGGCCCGAGACUGACGCUGAGGCGCGAAAGCGUGGGGAGCAAACAGG